AAGUCGUAACAAGGUUUCCGUAGGUGAACCUGCGGAAGGAUCAUUACAGAGUUCAUGCCCUCACGGGUAGAUCUCCCACCCUUGUGUAUUAUAUCAUAUGUUGCUUUGGCGGGUGCAAGCCCGCCAGAGGAUUUAAACUCUGAGUUUAGUGUCGUCUGAGUACUAUAAAAUAGUUAAAACUUUCAACAACGGAUCUCUUGGUUCUG
rnacentral:misc_RNA from 1 species